AUUGAACGCUGGCGGCAGGCUUAACACAUGCAAGUCGAGCGAGCGGCGGACGGGUGAGUAAUGUCUGGGAAACUGCAUGAUGGAGGGGGAUAACUACUGGAAACGGUAGCUAAUACCGCAUACCAUCAGAUGUGCCCAGAUGGGAUUAGCUAGUAGGUGGGGAAAUGGCUCACCUAGGCGACGAUCCCUAGCUGGUCUGAGAGGAUGACUGGCGAGACUGGAACUGAUGCACGGUCCAGACUCCUACGUGGGGCAGCAGUGGUGAAUAUUGCACAAUGGGCGCAAGCCGGAUGCAGCCAUGCCGCGUGUGUGAAUAAGGCCUUCGGGUUGUAAAGCACUUUCAGCGAGGAGGCGUUACCCGCAGAAGAAGCACCGGCUAACUCCGUGCCAGCAGCCGCGGUAAUUC
rnacentral:rRNA from 1 species